rfam:Salinicoccus alkaliphilus DSM 16010 genome assembly, contig: EJ97DRAFT_scaffold00006.6
AAAAAGGUGGCUUUCGCCACCACCUUUUUUACGAAUUCGAUUCAAU